rnacentral:rRNA from 1 species
CUUUCUUUGCCGGCGACCGGCGCACGGGUGAGUAACACGUAUCCAACCUGCCCUUUACUCGGGGAUAGCCUUUCGAAAGAAAGAUUAAUACCCGAUAGCAUAAUGAUUCCGCAUGGUUUCAUUAUUAAAGGAUUCCGGUAAAGGAUGGGGAUGCGUUCCAUUAGGUUGUUGGUGAGGUAACGGCUCACCAAGCCUUCGAUGGAUAGGGGUUCUGAGAGGAAGGUCCCCCACAUUGGAACUGAGACACGGUCCAA